CGGCCCUCGCCACGUUGGACGUAGUGCCAGUGGGACAUUCCAAAGGAGUGGCGCCAGCGCAAGAGGAGGCAGCUUGUACUCUGGAGCGGAAGGAGGCAGAAGUGAGCAGCGGACAAAGAUUUGACCCUUUUCAUCGAUUAUACAUUCAAACAGUUUAUAAAGGUGUCUCAGUAUUGUUACCUCCAUGUCACAGAUAGUGGAAGUGCUGCUGCACCAGUGAUGGACAGGAAUCUGCCUAAGAAUAUCAGUCUGCCCCCAACUGGUUACAUCGCUGCCAUAGGAGGCUGAAAGGGAGAGAAUAUUGAACCUCUAAACUCUGCCGGUCCUCAGAUGUUGCUUAUAAUGUGCAUGCAAAGUAUCAAAAGCUGUACAGUGCAACGUAGGUGCUAACGCCAUUCUCAGUUCUUAUGCAAGUACAUACUGCACCUGCUUCAUUAUUGUACUAAUAGCAAAAGAAGAAUGAAAUAGUUUUCAGAAAACAGAGCUCAUUGACUAUUGAUGCAGUGCAUUACAAUAAAUGAGCUAUAGAUCAUCAAUCCUACUGU